UACGUAGGGUGCGAGCGUUGUCCGGAAUUAUUGGGCGUAAAGAGCUCGUAGGCGGUUUGUCACGUCGGAUGUGAAAGCCCGGGGCUUAACCCCGGGUCUGCAUUCGAUACGGGCAGACUAGAGGUAGGUAGGGGAGAAGUGAAUUCCCGGUGUAGCGGUGAAAUGCGCAGAUAUCAGGAAGAACACCCGUGGCGAAGGCGGCUCUCUGGGACGGUACUGACGCUGAGACGCGAAAGCGUGGGGAGCGAACAGG
rnacentral:rRNA from 1 species